GACGAACGCUGGCGGCGUGCUUAACACAUGCAAGUCGAACGCUGAAGCUCAGCUUUUGUUGGGUGGAUGAGUGGCGAACGGGUGAGUAACACGUGAGUAACCUGCCUCCUUCUUUGGGAUAACGCCCGGAAACGGGUGCUAAUACUGGAUAUUCACUGGUCUUCGCAUGGGGGUUGGUGGAAAGGGUUUUUCUGGUGGGGGAUGGGCUCGCGGCCUAUCAGCUUGUUGGUGGGGUGAUGGCCUACCAAGGCUUUGACGGGUAGCCGGCCUGAGAGGGUGACCGGUCACAUUGGGACGGAGAUACGGCCCAGACUCCUACGGGAGGCAGCAGUGGGGAAUAAUGCACAAUGGGCGCAAGCCUGAUGCAGCGACGCCGCGUGAGGGAUGGAGGCCUUCGGGUUGUGAACCUCUUUCGCUCAUGGUCAAGCCGCAACAAUGGUUGUGGUGAGGGUAGUGGGUAAAGAAGCGCCGGCUAACUACGUG
rnacentral:rRNA from 1 species